GGGGCACGGUGGGCCACGAUGGUGGGGGAAGAAUGGGGGGGUCGGGAAGAAGGGCAGAGUUUGUGCCAGUGGGAUGGCGACUCCGAGAGGCUACCGACAGCACCAAGGGAAGAAGGGGGCUCAAGAACAUGGGCGCGGGGAUAGUCGAUCUAGUGCUGGAAUGUCAGAUUCAAGGUAGGGAUGGCGGUGUGGGGGCUGGGGGAGGAGGUCGGGUUCUCUAGCGGUGCGACAGGGG
rnacentral:lncRNA from 1 species